GGGGUUGGGGGGACGUAGGCGCCGCCCUGCCUGGUGGGGCUCGUGGCCCCGGAGCAGCUUACAAACUGCCAAAAGCUCUUAGACAUCUAGUCUGGAUCUGGUACUAGCCCCGGGAUCCUAGCUACUCAGUGAAUGGCUGAUGUCUGAAAGAGUCACGAAAGCAGAUCUUACCUCCAGAGCAAUUCAGGAGACAUGGUUGAAACUGCUGAGAGAAAAUUUCUGAGCGGUUUGAUGUUCAGUUACAAGGUCUAAGGAUGGAAGAAAAGAAAGGAACGUCUGAUCAUUAAGAACCAGACUGAAGGGAAGUUUACAGGGCAAUGUUCUUCAAUAAUUGAACUGUGAGUGGAAAAGACACCCCAGUCUGGAAUCCAUCUCUUCACGGAUGUAUCAACUGCAGACACUGGACCAUUUGCCUUAACAAGUCAGGCAAAGUUAGAAAAAGAACACAGUGGGGACAUUUGCAUUUGGAGUAUUUGAUAUAUAGGAAGGAUCGAUAACUGUUUUAGGUGUGGUCGUGGAAGCAGGAUUUUAGCACCCCCCCCCCCCCGGCCCGUCCUGGGGUUCCACGUCAGGUCACCUCUAAACAUCAAAUAAAAAUGUGUGCGAUGGUGAAGACCUCUUAACGUGGUAUAGGAAGGCAGAGGAAAAGGCCAUCUUUAGUCAUGUUCAGCGUUCUAACAUUGGAUCUAAACAGAGUCAGGACAGGGGUGAGAGGUUUGCGUAAUAAUUUAACAGUCCUGGGCAAAGGAUGAUUUGGUUGAUCAUUAUUUUGGUCCUGAUUGAGGAGAGACACUGGAAGUUAUCAGUUAUUAUCAGCCUGAUUGUAUCAGCCUGUCCCUAGGAAGGCCUUUUGAUCCUUAGGUGUAGUUUUUUUUCUUCCUCAACCCCCAUAAAGACCUUUACCCAGCAGUCCCUACCCCUUCCUGGAUUCCACAGUGACUCCAAGGAUCCAGAGACAAGAUGGUAGCCGUGAUGCUGAACUCGUCUCCUGCUUUGAGUUCAUUCCUGGGCUCAAGCGAGGAGCCGGGGCUUUCUAGCGAAAGCAAUUUAAGUACCUCUUACAAUACCAGUAGUCUGGCUACUUAAAAGGUUGUCAUUUAGGGAAAUAUCUUGAAAUAUUGAUAACAUCAUUAAAAAUAAUCCAAUGAGGGAGUCGAGACUUGGGAGGGAGGGGGCUAUAAAUAAAAUAAGACUGGCCAUAAAUAAAAUAAGAUUUUUGAAGGUAGCUAGGUGUUGGGUUCACAAUGGGGCUUAU